rnacentral:pre_miRNA from 1 species
GGCACAAAUCUGAAGUAGGGUAGAUUUGUAAGGACAGCUGAUCUUACUAUUCCACUGUACUUCAAAACUGUGCAC